AUGGCUGUCAGAGGUUAUCAUUUUAAUUGGACACACUAAUCUGGACAAAACCGGUCUAAAACAAUACACGGCCGAUAAUGGUACACAAGCCAUCGUCUGACUGACGCUAAAACAUCGACUACUCGACGAUGGUAGUUCAGCGAAGGCAGCAUCUCCGGGAUCUUCUACCUGAAAUCCAAAACAACUUCCGGGCCCAUGCCGGGAUACAGGCCCGAAUAACCCUACAACGGAAUCCUUGAUCCAUGGCGAUUGCCGAAAACAUCGAUUUCUUGACAAAGUUGUUGCCAAAGUCCAGCGCAGAGAUGUUUGCAAAAAAAACAAACAAGCAGAAAAAUGGCUGACCUAGCAAACUAAAAAAGCUAUCGAAUGUCA